rnacentral:misc_RNA from 1 species
UAAUCCUGCCUUCCUCUCUCAGCAG